UACGUAGGAGACGAGCGUUGUCCGGAGUUACUGGGCGUAAAGCGCACGUAGGCGGAUCUUUAAGUCAGAGGUGAAAUCCCAAGGCUCAACCUUGGAACUGCCUUUGAUACUGGGGAUCUCGAGUUCGGGAGAGGUGAGUGGAACUGCGAGUGUAGAGGUGAAAUUCGUAGAUAUUCGCAAGAACACCAGUGGCGAAGGCGGCUCACUGGCCCGAUACUGACGCUGAGGUGCGAAAGCGUGGGGAGCAAACAGG
rnacentral:rRNA from 1 species